rnacentral:rRNA from 1 species
UACGGGAGGCAGCAGUGAGGAAUAUUGGUCAAUGGGCGAGAGCCUGAACCAGUCAAGUCGCGUGAAGGAAGACAGUCCUAAGGAUUGUAAACUUCCUUUAUACGGGAGUAACGGGCGAUACGAGUAUUGCAUUGAAUGUACCGUAAGAAUAAGCAUCGGCUAACUCCGUGCCAGCAGCCGCGGUAAU